rnacentral:rRNA from 1 species
UACGUAGGGGGCUAGCGUUGUCCGGAUUUAUUGGGCGUAAAGAGCGUGUAGGCGGCCAGAUAGGUCUGCUGUGAAAACUCGAGGCUCAACCUCGAGAUGUCGGCGGAAACCAUUUGGCUAGAGUCCGGAAGAGGAAAGUGGAAUUCCUGGUGUAGCGGUGAAAUGCGCAGAUAUCAGGAAGAACACCCGUGGCGAAGGCGGCUUUCUGGGACGGUACUGACGCUGAGAUGCGAAAGCGUGGGGGAGCGAACAGG